GAUGAACGCUGGCGGCGUGCCUAAUACAUGCAAGUCGAGCGAACAGACGAGGAGCUUGCUCCUCUGACGUUAGCGGCGGACGGGUGAGUAACACGUGGAUAACCUACCUAUAAGACUGGGAUAACUUCGGGAAACCGGAGCUAAUACCGGAUAAUAUAUUGAACCGCAUGGUUCAAUAGUGAAAGACGGUUUUGCUGUCACUUAUAGAUGGAUCCGCGCCGCAUUAGCUAGUUGGUAAGGUAACGGCUUACCAAGGCAACGAUGCGUAGCCGACCUGAGAGGGUGAUCGGCCACACUGGAACUGAGACACGGUCCAGACUCCUACGGGAGGCAGCAGUAGGGAAUCUUCCGCGAUGGGCGAGAGCCUGACGGAGCAACGCCGCGUGAGUGAUGAAGGUCUUCGGAUCGUAAAGCGCUGUUAUUAGGGAAGAACAAAUGUGUAAGUAACUAUGCACGUCUUGACGGUACCGAAUCAGAAAGCCACGGCUAACUACGUG
rnacentral:rRNA from 1 species